rnacentral:rRNA from 1 species
CGGCGGACGGGUGAGUAACGCGUGGGUAACCUGCCUCAUACAGGGGGAUAACAGUUAGAAAUGACUGCUAAUACCGCAUAAGACCACAGCACCGCAUGGUGCGGGGGUAAAAACUCCGGUGGUAUGAGAUGGACCCGCGUCUGAUUAGCUGGUUGGUAAGGUAACGGCUUACCAAGGCGACGAUCAGUAGCCGACCUGAGAGGGUGACCGGCCACAUUGGGACUGAGACACGGCCCAA